rnacentral:misc_RNA from 1 species
AACGAGGCCGACCUGCGGCUGAGUUACCUGCGGAGGGAUCAUUACCGAGUUUACAACUCCCAAACCCCUGUGAACAUACCUAUACGUUGCCUCGGCGGAUCAGCCCGCGCCCUGUAAAAAGGGACGGCCCGCCCGAGGACCCUAAACUCUGUUUUUAGUGGAACUUCUGAGUAAAACAAACAAAUAAAUCAAAACUUUCAACAACGGAUCU